rnacentral:rRNA from 3 species
CACGGCCCAGACUCCUACGGGAGGCAGCAGUGGGGAAUAUUGCGCAAUGGGCGGAAGCCUGACGCAGCGACGCCGCGUGGGGGAUGACGGCCUUCGGGUUGUAAACCUCUUUCGCCAGGGACGAAGAGUGAUUGACGGUACCUGGAGAAGAAGCACCGGCCAACUACGUGCCAGCAGCCGCGGUAACACGUAGGGUGCGAGCGUUGUCCGGAAUUAUUGGGCGUAAAGAGCUCGUAGGCGGUGUGUCGCGUCGGCCGUGAAAACUUGGGGCUUAACUCUGAGCGUGCGGUCGAUACGGGCAUCACUUGAGUUCGGCAGGGGAGACUGGAAUUCCUGGUGUAGCGGUGAAAUGCGCAGAUAUCAGGAGGAACACCGGUGGCGAAGGCGGGUCUCUGGGCCGAUACUGACGCUGAGGAGCGAAAGCGUGGGGAGCGAACAGGAUUAGAUACCCUGGUAGUCCACGCCGUAAACGUUGGGCGCUAGGUGUGGGGACCAUUCCACG